UAAUAAGUGUUUUAUGGCACUUUUUAAAUCCAUAUCCACCUUGUGUGCAAUGUCAGUCGAUCUUCUUCAUGGAGUUCGACCAAACAUCAACCUAAUCUUUUAACUCUUUGUCUGAAAAAUAUUAUGAAUAAACCUUAUA
rnacentral:misc_RNA from 1 species